AGCGAACGCUGGCGGCAGGCCUAACACAUGCAAGUCGAACGAAGCCUUCGGGCUUAGUGGCGGACGGGUGAGUAACACGUGGGAACGUACCUUUUGGUUCGGAACAACUCAGGGAAACUUGAGCUAAUACCGGAUGAGCCCUUAGGGGGAAAGAUUUAUCGCCGAAAGAGCGGCCCGCGUUAGAUUAGCUAGUUGGUGAGGUAAAGGCUCACCAAGGCAACGAUCUAUAGCUGGUCUGAGAGGAUGAUCAGCCACACUGGGACUGAGACACGGCCCAGACUCCUACGGGAGGCAGCAGUGGGGAAUCUUGCGCAAUGGGCGAAAGCCUGACGCAGCCAUGCCGCGUGAAUGAUGAAGGUCUUAGGAUUGUAAAAUUCUUUUACCAGGGACGAUAAUGACGGUACCUGGAGAAAAAGCCCCGGCUAACUUCGUGCCAGCAGCCGCCGUAAGAC
rnacentral:rRNA from 1 species